rnacentral:lncRNA from 1 species
UCCCGUCGUAGUUCGUCAUCCUUCCUUUUUAAUUUUCUUCCUCUUCUCAGAGUGAGGGCCCUCCUCCCGCUUUUCGUGGGGUUGCAUAGAAGCGAGGAGGUGCCGCUGAGGGGCUUUUUCCUUUCAUCCGAUCUUGUUGGGCGGUCGGGUUUCACCGCCAUCAGUCCUUGCUGCAGAAGUUGCGGGUGGAGCCCGGCUCCCGCAGGAGUCCGGGUGGGGUCUUCCUUGGCGUCGCGGACGGAGCCCGGCUCCCGUAGGAGUCCGGGUGGAGUCUUCCUUGGCGUCGUGGAUGGAGCCCGACUCCCGUAGGAGUCUGGGUGGAGUCUUCCUUGGCGUCGUGGAUGGAGUCCGGCUCCCGUAGGAGUCCGGAUGGAGUCUUCCUUGACGUCGUGGAUGGAGCCCGGCUCCCGUAGGAGUCCGGGCCUUCCACUUUGCUCGAGCCAGGGCGAGGUUCUCCUCCCAUUCCCGGCUUGGCUGUGGGGG